rnacentral:lncRNA from 10 species
GCAGACUAGAUGGAUGCUGAGUGGAAGCUGCUGGGUGAAUGAGUGAGAACCAACCAGAUCCUCCCUAUUGCUUUUUAUGGUUGAUUCCUUAGUCCCAUUUCAGAUGAACUGGUUUCCUUUCUUCUCCUCCUUUGUUUCUCUCUUAACAAUUUCCACAUAUCUCUGACUCAGUCUGUCUGAAGUACAGCUCUGCCUUGAUCAAAACCUUCAGUGGAUUAUCAUCUCUUGCAAAAUCCUUUUCAUGCUCAAUAUCAUUUCCAGCCUUUACUGGUCAGUCUCUAAUAUGCAUUUGCAGCUGUAUUUCCCAUGCUUCUCCUUGCCAACUCCAGACCAGCCUCUUGUCCAUUCUUCUGUCACACUCUGCAGCAUACUAUUUCUGUGGUUGUGUUCAUAUCAUACCCUCAGAUAGGUGUUUCAUUGUCCCAGUCACUGCCUAGUGAAUUAAAAGUCAAAAUGUCCCCUACCCCACAAUCAGAAUCAAUCUUCCAUUCUGUAUCUGUAAAUACCACUUCUACGUUUUUCCUUCCAUUAUGCUUCCAGAGGAGAUUGGAAAACUUGAAGAUAAAGUGGAAUGUGCUAAUAAUGCCCUGAAAGCAGAUUGGGAGAGAUGGAAACAAAAUAUGCAAAAUGAUAUCAAGUUAGCAUUUACAGAUAUGGCUGAGGAGAAUAUCCAUUAUUAUGAACAGUGCCUUGCUACGUGGGAGUCAUUCCUUACAUCACAGACCAACCUUCACUUGGAAGAAGCCUCUGAAGAUAAACCUUAAUCCCAUUGAGGACUUCUGUUUGAUCUUUGGGAGACAGCAUUUAUUAACCAAAGUUAUUCUUUCUGGAUCUGCCGUGUCCUUAUAAAGUGGAUGAAAAAUGUUUUGUACCCAUCUGGAAAACCAACAACUUGAAAUCUCAGGUAUUCCAGGUCACUGACAUGAAUUUGAAGAUAUAUCUAUCUGUAUGGAUAUAUAUCUAUAUGUAUAUAGAUAUAUAAAUACAGAGAGAUAUCUGGCUUGGUUUUAAUUAUGUUCUUAAAUUUGUGUGCCAAUAAUUGCAUAUAGAUUUUUUUUCUUAAAUAUUUGACUGUGGAACAUGCCAUUUUAAAUAUGUUGUAAGGACUGUUUUAAUAAAAAGUUUAGUAUGA